GACGAACGCUGGCGGCGUGCUUAACACAUGCAAGUCGAACGGAAAGGCCCUGCUUUUGUGGGGUGCUCGAGUGGCGAACGGGUGAGUAACACGUGAGUAACCUGCCCUUGACUUUGGGAUAACUUCAGGAAACUGGGGCUAAUACCGGAUUGGAGCUCCUGCUGCAUGGUGGGGGUUAGAAAGUUUCGGCGGUUGGGGAUGGACUCGCGGCUUAUCAGCUUGUUGGUGGGGUAGUGGCUUACCAAGGCUUUGACGGGUAGCCGGCCUGAGAGGGUGACCGGCCACAUUGGGACUGAGAUACGGCCCAGACUCCUACGGGAGGCAGCAGUAAGGAAUAUUGCACAAUGGGCGGAAGCCUGAUGCAGCAACGCCGCGUGCGGGAUGACGGCCUUCGGGUUGUAAACCGCUUUCGCCUGUGACGAAGCGUGAGUGACGGUAAUGGGUAAAGAAGCACCGGCUAACUACGUG
rnacentral:rRNA from 1 species